UACGGGGGGGGCAAGCGUUGUUCGGAAUUACUGGGCGUAAAGGGCGUGUAGGUGGCCAACUAAGUCCGACGUGAAAUCCCCAGGCUUAACCUGGGAACUGCGUCGGAUACUGGAUGGCUUGAAUUCGGGAGAGGGAUGUAGAAUUCCAGGUGUAGCGGUGAAAUGCGUAGAUAUCUGGAGGAAUACCGGUGGCGAAGGCGGCAUCCUGGACCGAAACUGACGCUUAAGCGCGAAAGCUAGGGGAGCAAACGGG
rnacentral:rRNA from 1 species